GGAUGUGAGGGCGAUCUGGCUGCGACAUCUGUCACCCCAUUGAUCGCCAGGGUUGAUUCGGCUGAUCUGGCUGGCUAGGCGGGUGUCCCCUUCCUCCCUCACCGCUCCAUGUACGUCCCUCCCGAAGCUGCGCGCUCGGUCUAAGAGGACGACCUUCCCCGAUAGAGGAGGACAGUUCUUCAGUCAAGGGUAUACGAGUAGCUGCGCUCCCCUGCUAGAACCUCCAAACAAGCUCUCAAAAAAUACUUUAUUCCUUAAGUAAACAGUUCAUUAUGUCUAGAACAUAAAUUGUUCAAAGGCUUUUCCAACAAAU
ensembl:misc_RNA 7SK 7SK RNA